rnacentral:rRNA from 1 species
CCUACGGGAGGCAGCAGUAGGGAAUAUUGCUCAAUGGGGGAAACCCUGAAGCAGCAACGCCGCGUGGAGGAUGAAGGUUUUAGGAUUGUAAACUCCUUUUGUUAGAGAAGAUUAUGACGGUAUCUAACGAAUAACCACCGGUUAACUACGUGCCAGCAGCCGCGGUAAUACGGAGGGGGCAAGAGUUACUCGGAAUCACUGGGCGUAAAGAGUGCGUAGGCGGGUUAAUAAGUCAGAUGUGAAAGCCUGUAGCUUAACUGGAGAAGUGCAUUUGAAACUGUUACUCUGGAGUGUGGGAGAGGUAGGUGGAAUUCUUGGUGUAGGGGUAAAAUCCGUAGAGAUAAAGAGGAAUACUCGUUGCGAAGGCGACCUUCUGGAACAUUACUGACGCUGAUGCACGAAAGCGUGGGGAGCAAACAGGAUUAGAUACCCCUGUAGUC